rnacentral:rRNA from 1 species
UACGGAGGGUGCGAGCGUUGUCCGGAAUCAUUGGGCGUAAAGGGCGCGUAGGUGGCGCGGUAAGCGUGCGGUGAAAGCCUGGGGCUCAACCCCGGGUCGGCCGUGCGAACUGCUGGGCUUGAGCACUGUAGAGGCAGGCGGAAUUCCGGGUGUAGCGGUGGAAUGCGUAGAGAUCCGGAGGAACACCGGUGGCGAAGGCGGCCUGCUGGGCAGUUGCUGACGCUGAGGCGCGACAGCGUGGGGAGCAAACAGG